UAGAGGAAUCUGUUCUGUAAUUGAUAAUCCACGUUGGACCUCACUUAAUUUUGUUUUCAAUUUGUAUAUCGCCGUCAUCAGAAUAUAUUAUAAGAUUAAUAAUUUUCUUGAUAUUUCAUUAAAUAAUAUGUCAGGUCAAGGUGCAGUUUAUGGUUAAGUAGAAAUGGAUUACAAUAAAUAUAUUUAUACGGAUAAUUUUUUGAAAUAAAAAUUUGAAGGUGGAUUUAAUAGUAAUAUAAAAUAGAUUAUUUAUAUGAUUAUAGCUCUAAAACAUGCACACAUCGCCCGUCGCUCUCAUUUUUAAAAUGAGAUAAGUCGUAACAUAGUAGAUGUACUGGAAAGUGUAUCUAGAAUGA
rnacentral:rRNA from 1 species